rnacentral:rRNA from 1 species
UCUACCGAUUGGACGCUGCGGUGAAGACCUGGGAUUGGGCAACCGAAGUUGAGGCCUGGUUUCGUGCCAGCCCUCUCCCUGCUGCCCGAGAACUCGUCUGAACCCCAUCGUCUAGAGGAAGAAGAAGUCGUAACAAGGUU